GUAAAUAUAGUUUAUUUAAAACAUUAGAUUGUGAAUCUAAUAACAGAAACUAACCCUUCUUAUUUACC
rnacentral:tRNA from 1 species